GUCAUAUAUGAAGUCUUAUUUCUAAAACAAAGCUGUAUCCAGUAACACAGAAAGUGAAUCAGAAUGAUCUCGUGUUGAGCCCAUCCUUUACAUUUGAAUACACAGUCUACAUUACAAUACAACGAAAGACAUAAAUUAAGAAAUAUUUCAUUAUAAAACUGUGAAUUUACGUUGUGGAACGAAGAAAUAAGUGUCGAAAUAUAGAAAUAGUCGUUUUGUGUCAUAUUUGUUUGAAGUUCAAACAAAGGCUUCACGAUUAAAACCAAACAUUCUUCAUUAAAGUAAGUUAAAGUUUUUACAUCAUUAUAUUUUAAACA